rnacentral:rRNA from 1 species
GGUUACCUCAGGUCAGAGAAGACUACCCGCUGGACUUAAGCAUAUCACUAAGCGGAGGAAAAGAAACUAACUAGGAUUCCCCCAGUAACUGCGAGUGAAGAGGGAAGAGCUCAUCAUUGGAAUCUGGCGGUGUUGCACCGUCCGAGUUGUAGAUGAGGAGUGGUUCRUCUGGACUGCAUGGCGUCCAAGUACAAUAGGCCGUCAGUGGGACAUCAUAGAGGGUGACRAUCCCGUCCUUGAUGCCRAUGUGCAAGUCCAUUACGAURGCCAUCUCAGAGAGUCGAGCAGUUUGGGAUUUGCUGCUUAVACAUGRGARGUAGAUUCCUUCU